rnacentral:rRNA from 1 species
UACUGAGUGGCAAACGGGUGAGUAUAAUGUGGGAAUCUGCCUUUUGGUCUGGAAUAACACGGGGAAACUUGUGCUAAUACCGGAUAAGCCCUCACGGGGAAAGUUUUAAUGCCGAAAGAUGAGCCCGCACUUGAUUAGCUAGUUGGUAAGGUAAAAGCUUACCAAGGCAACGAUCAAUAGCUGUUCUUAGAGGAAGACCAGCCACAUUGGGACUGAGACACGGCCCAGACUCCUACGGGAGGCAGCAGUGGGGAAUCUUGCACAAUGGGGGAAACCCUGAUGCAGCGAUGCCGCGUGAGUGAAGAAGGCCUUUGGGUUGUAAAACUCUUUCGUCGGGGAAGAAAAUGACUGUACCCGAAUAAGAAGGUCCGGCUAACUUCGUGCCAGCAGCCGCGGUAAUACGAAGGGACCUAGCGUAGUUCGGAAUUACUGGGCUUAAAGAGCUCGUAGGUGGUUAAAAAAGUUGAUGGUGAAAUCCCAAGGCUCAACCUUGGAACUGCCAUCAAAACUUUUUAGCUAGAGUGUGAUAGAGGUAAGUGGAAUUUCUAGUGUAGAGGUGAAAUUCGUAGAUAUUAGAAAGAACACCAAAUGCGAAGGCAACUUACUGGGUCACUACUGACACUGAGGAGCGAAAGCAUGGGUAGCGAAGAGGAUUAGAUACCCUCGUAGUCCAUGCCGUAAACGAUGUGUGCUAGACGUUGGAAAUAUAUUUUUCAGUGUCGCAGCGAAAGCAUUAAGCACACCGCCUGGGGAGUACGACCGCAAGGUUAAAACUCAAAUGAAUUGACGGGGACCCGCACAAGCAGUGG